UCGAGAAUCAUUCGCAAUGGGCGAAAGCCUGACGAUGCGACGCCGUGUGAGCGAAGAAGGCCUUAGGGUUGUAAAGCUCUUUCGCCCGGGAACAAGAAAGGUCGACGAAUAAUCGGCCGAUUUGAGGGUACUGGGUAAAGAAGCACCGGCUAACUCCGUGCCAGCAGCUGCGGUAAUACGGAGGGUGCAAGCAUUAAUCGGAUUUAUUGGGCGUAAAGGGCGCGUAGGCGGGGACAUCAGUCAGAUGUGAAAUCCCGGGGCUCAACCUCGGAACGGCAUUUGAAACUGUGUUUCUAGAGGAUAGGCGGGGAAAACGGAAUUCCACAAGUAGCGGUGAAAUGCGUAGAUAUGUGGAAGAACACCGGUGGCGAAGGCGGUUUUCCAGCUUAUUCCUGACGCU
rnacentral:rRNA from 1 species